GAUCUUACCGUUUUUGCAAAACACAAACACUUUGCACCGGGUUUGAUUGCAUCGGGUUCAGAAAUUAACAUUCAAUUGGCAAAACAUGUCAUUUUUGACAACGACACUGAUAAGACCAUUCGAGUUAAGCGCAUCGACAAGCAAGCAGUAUUCGUAAAGGUUGUAUUGGGAAAGUACUUGGGUGAAAUAACUAAUUGGACCGAUCCGAAGUACAGAUUGCGAUUAAUGAAGUCGUGCAUUUUCAAUCAUUACACAAUUGUUGUACUUAAAAAGUACUCGAUGUAUACACAACACGUAAAUGAAAGGAUACGAUGGCUAAAGGAGAGCGGUAUAAUUUCACAUUGGAUGUUAUCUUUGGAAGGCAUCAACAACACCACGUACUCACGACCAUAUUUCAGAUUCUCUGAUACACUAAGGCACGAACCGAAGAGGCUAUCAACU